GUCCAGCUGUAACGAUGCAGACUCGGUGAUGCACUGGCUUGUGGCCAGUGCAGUGCCGCAGGGAAGCCGUUAAGUUGCCGCCUGGAAGUACGUACGCAAGUAUGAACUUAAGGAAUUGGCGGGAGCACCACAAGGGUGAAGCCUGCGGUUCAAUUGGAGUCAACGCCAGAAAUCUUACCCGAAGAGACAGCAGAAUGAAGGUCAAGCCGGAGACUUUACCAGACAAGCUGAGAAGUGGUGCAUGGCCGUCGC
rnacentral:rRNA from 1 species